CUCUGCCAGGGGGAGGCUUUUGGCUGUUUGCACUGUCAGUCAUUUCUUCUGAGGGAAGACAGCAGUCCAAGUCCCGCUGAUGCCAGUUGGAUGGCACUCUUCUGUGGAAAGCCAGUCCCGGUAGAAGAGGGAGACAUGUAAUGAGCUCUCAUUUACUCACUGGGACCUGUCCUGUGACUUUGCUGUAGUUCUUCAAACAGCGAUGAGUUCAUCUUCAAUAUUGCACGGCUACAGUCUAGGCAAGAGGUAAUGAAAGGCAUUUCUAACACACCAGCAUGCAGCCAGCACCGAAAUCUCUGAAUCAAAAGGAGAAGGCAGGAGGCAUGGCCCUGGGAUGGUGUUGCGUGAGACCUCGGUGUCUGUAAGGAAUCCAGGAGGGCUCCAGGUGCAAGGUGUGGUUAAUCUUGAAUAGCUGCUGCCAGGUACUGGGCCUGUUCUGUGGAUACGAGGACUAUACUUCUCUAUCCCAAACCAGAAAGAAUGUGCAGAAAGCAAAGAUACACAAAAUAAUCCAGCCAACAUGUUCAGGACUUUAUUUAUGUUGGGAAGGGAUUCAGGGAAGAGUGGAGGUGAGGGGGCGCGUGGAAGAGGAUGCACACCCGCUGUCUGCUCUGUGGGCGAUGACGAGCAUUAGCAGGAGCGCUGGCACAUGACGGUGCAAUUCGACCUGACGGUUUGUUCCAGCGGCUGUGGAAGUUGACGCCUAUCAUGUUCCCUCUGUGCUUUCCCUUAAAAUGGAGUUUAAACUUCUGUUUGGCAAUUUGUAUUCACAGUGUGUGCCUGUCGGAUUGAAGUGAUGCUUCCCUACCAACCUUCUUCUGGUGACUCAAUCAGUUUCCAAAGAGUUUAAUUUAAGUAAUUGUUCACAUCCUUUUGUGUUGUAAAGAAAACCUGAGCACUAGUGGAGGAGCUUCUUUCUCCCCAAGCUCUUAGCUAAGCAGAAACACCGGAGUGAGCACUUGAUAUGACAUUUCUCAAGUUCUGCCAGGAAGAAACAAAGUUUGAGAAGCAUGAACUGUCCCACGCCGUCUCAGUUGGGCAUUGAUUAAAAAGCCUGAAUAAAACUCAUCUUUGCACACCUGUGGUGCUGGCCAUCAACUUGUGGGACCUCCUGCUCCCAUGCGGUCUCUUUAGAGUGGAGACCUGCGUUAUCAAAGCUGAAGAGCUCAGGCUCCUGGUCCCUCACAAAUACAUGUCCACAAAAGGGACUCUGUGUUCCCAUUCUGCUCACUCAUACCACCAUUACCUGAAAUGUCUGGGUUUUGAUUCACUGCAUAGGACAAAAUCUGAUUACCACCUGUGUUUUCUUUACUGUUUUGUCUGACACCUUUUGUAUAACCAGCAAGAACAUUUCUACAGCACUAGGGUGUAAGAAAGUGACGCUCAAGCUCAACCUCAUGUAAGAAAUCAACCUGAAUUUUGAAAGGUAGUUUCUUCACUGCCUCUACUGCUGCCUAUCUCCCACUCUUUGCUCUUUUCUUCUGGAAUUCGUGGUGCUACUCACCGGCCUGACCUGCCUCCCACGGGCUCCCUCUGUGUGGGGACACUGCCAGGAGCCUUCCAGCGAGCUCGAGGCUCAGCAAAGUCUCUGGCCUGACUGCCUCAGCUGGAAAUGCUUUCUGUGGGUUCAGCCUUGUAUCUGUGAUUUAAUGCCGUGCUAAUAUUAAACAUCUAACGUAAUGCAAUGUUGAUCUAAACCAGGGAAUAACCUAGGAAUAGGUAUGUGAAAAACUAUGUUGUUGUUUUAUUUUUUUUUUUCCAUUUUCAAGCUGGAGACAGGAUGUAAAGUAAGACUGGGAACAGUUUGUCUCCAGGGUCCCAGCAGGAACUUAGAAACUAGAGACAGAGGUCUCCUUUUCACAGCCUUUUGGUAGAGUAUUUCGUGAAACAGCAGGGACAGCAGCUGCUCUCAACCUGCUUGCUCUUUACCACGUAUUCAAAGGGAGCUGGAAAUGACUGUCUAUACCACCCAUUGCACUUCUCAGGGGCCACAAGAUACCAUUGUUGAUUUAAUACAAAACCUUGCAUUUCUACUGCUAAAUAGAAAUAUAGGGCAUAAAGAAGACACUGUAUUCCAUAAGACAGCAUGGCAGAACAGACUAAUGUCAGAAAUCAAGUCAGAAUGAACCAGUGACCAUUUCCCCAUUUAUAUCCUUAUGUUUCAAAGAGCUUCUCAGAUCAGAAAAGGCAGGUUUUGCCUUAUUUUCUCCUUCAUUACAGAAAGCAAGUUGCAAAAUAAAUCAAUAAAAGUAUUCAGAAAUCAAGAUCCACUUGAGAUACUAUCUUAAAAUCUAAGAUUGCUUCUGCGUUAGUUUGCAUACAUUGAGCUGAGUUUAAAUUCCAGGUUCUUGUUAAGGCUUCUAGAGAAAAUUGUGGGACUUCACAAGCCUUGGCACUCGUGUACUCCCAAAUUGCUUGAGUUUGACAAAUGACAGAAGUGGGACCCACUCACGGCUUUGAGUCUGCUUUUACCUUAGCCACCAGCCAAAGUUCGUGCCGCUUGGUGGUCUCGUUCAGACCUGUCUGUGAUCCAAACAGUGAAAACGAGCACAUUCCUCUCAGGAAAGAAGACAUCAAUUAAAUGAAACUCCUUUGGUUUCUGCUGGAGAAAGGCACACGCUCAAGAAACCGCAAACCGUUCAACUCACUGUGAUCUUAUUUCUUUACAGAAAAACAUUUCUUUACAGAAAAACAUUUUAGAACCAGCUACUUUCCUACAAUGAUGGACAUUGGCCAUACUUAAUUUUUCAUUUUUAAAUGUGAGCUACUAAUUAUAGACCCAUCCCAGAUUUCCUGGUCUGAACUUAGUGCUCUCAUUAAAAUAUGGCGUGCGUGACCAGCCAGCUUUUAUGGCACAGCCAGGCUGGUUGGCUCCGGAGGAUUGCCCCAUGCCCUGCUCCUCUCCACUGCCUUGAACUGUUUUGGGAUCUAGCUCCAAGCUGUGCUGUAGACCACACCUGGGACUGGGUGUUGAUCUAGGGUCAAAUUAUGGGGCUGGCCACAGGACCCAGAACAUAGAAAUAAGCAUCCUCCAGCUUUUAUGCUAAGCUGGCCAGAUCGGGCAUUCUUACUGACUGAACAACACUGUCAGUAAUUUGAAUCCUAAUCAGGUAGAAACCUAAUCGAAGCGCCUGAUGGAUGUGGACUGGAAGCAAACUGAUUUGGCAAAAAACAACCUGUCAAGCCCAAAUCAGUUUACCAUUAUCUUCAAUGGUAACGCUAAAAAAUAAAGCUGCUGGUUUUCUAAACCCUACUGCAUCAUUGUCUAUUAGGUGUUUGGGGAAGCAGGUAAGUGUUCUCACACACAGACACACAAUAUUUGUGGUGCCCUCAAUUAAAAACCUAUAAAAUGCUAUAUGAAGCUGAUAUUAAAACCACCAUUCUCCUGACACUCUCCAGAGGUACUUUCAUGUUGUUUUAGAAUUGUUUUUACAUUGUUGAAUAAAACUGAAAUGUCAUGUAUUCUACACAUGAGUUGAUUUCUCCUAUAUUUAUAUUAAAUACAAAUACACUGAUUUGCCAAGUAA